rnacentral:tRNA from 1 species
GGCACUAUAGCUCAGUAGUAGAGCACUUGCCUAACAUGCACGAGACCAGGGGUUCAAUCCCUAGUACUG